UGAAUUCACUACUGUAAGUUGCUCUGGAUAAGAGCGUCUACUAAAUGACUAAAA
rfam:Salmo salar isolate Sally breed double haploid chromosome ssa05, whole genome shotgun sequence.